rnacentral:rRNA from 1 species
AGCGAACGCUGGCGGCGUGCCUAACACAUGCAAGUCGAACGUGAAAAGGGAAACCUGAGUAAAGUGGCGUACGGGUGAGUAACGCGUAGGUAAUCUACCCCAGAAUCUGGAAUAACCUGCCGAAAGGCGGGCUAAUACUGGAUAGAGCGAGGGAACUCGUAAGAGAGUUUUUCGGGAAAGGGAGCCCGCAAGGGCCUUCGUUCUGGGAUGAGCCUGCGUCUCAUUAGCUAGUUGGUAAGGUAACGGCUUACCAAGGCGAUGAUGAGUAGCUGGUCUGAGAGGAUGUUCAGCCACACUGGAACUGAAACACGGUCCAGACUCCUACGGGAGGCAGCAGUGGGGAAUCUUGCGCAAUGGACGAAAGUCUGACGCAGCCACGCCGCGUGAGUGAAGAAGGCCUUCGGGUUGUAAAGCUCUGUCGGAUGGGACGAACAUCUUCAUAGUGAAUAGCUAUGAGGACUGACGGUACCAUCAAAGGAAGCACCGGCUAACUCCGUG